rnacentral:rRNA from 1 species
UACGUAGGGACCAAGCGUUGUCCGGAUUUAUUGGGCGUAAAGCGCUCGUAGGCGGUUCGGUAAGUCGGGUGUGAAACCCCUGGGCUCAACCCGGGGACGCCACCCGAUACUGCUGUGACUCGAGUUCGGUAGGGGAGCGGGGAAUUCCUGGUGUAGCGGUGAAAUGCGCAGAUAUCAGGAGGAACACCGAUGGCGAAGGCAGGUCUCUGGGCCACUACUGACGCUGAGAAGCGAAAGCAUGGGGAGCGAACAGG